rnacentral:tRNA from 1 species
GCCUGAGUGGCUCAGUUGGUUAAGCGUCUGACUUCGGUUCAGGGCACGAUCUCACAGUUUGUGAGUUCGAGUCCCACGUGGGGCU